GGACGAACGCUGGCGGCGUGCCUAACACAUGCAAGUCGAACGGAGAUAUGAUUUCGGUUGUAUCUUAGUGGCGAACGGGUGAGUAACGCGUGAGCAACCUGACUCUUAGAGGGGGAUAACACUCGGAAACGGGUGCUAAUACCGCAUAAGACCACGACAUGGCAUCAUGACGAGGUCAAAGGAGCAAUCCGCUGAGAGAGGGGCUCGCGUCCCAUUAGAUAGAUGGCGGGGUAACGGCCCACCAUGUCAACGAUGGGUAGCCGAGCUGAGAGGACGAUCAGCCACACUGGAACUGAGACACGGUCCAGACUCCUACGGGAGGCAGCAGUAGGGAAUCUUGCGCAAUGGGCGAAAGCCUGACGCAGCAAUGCCGCGUGCGGGACGAAGGCCCUAGGGUCGUAAACCGCUUUCAGUAGGGACGAAAAUGACGGUACCUGCAGAAGAAGCUCCGGCCAACUACGUGCCAGCAGCCGCGGUGAUACGUAGGGAGCAAGCGUUGUCCGGAAUUACUGGGCGUAAAGGGCUCGUAGGUGGUUGAGUAAGUCAGAUGUGAAAUCUCAGGGCCCAACCCUGAGCGUGCAUUUGAUACUGCUCUGACUAGAGUCCGGUAGGGGAGUGCGGAAUUCCUGGUGUAGCGGUGAAAUGCGCAGAUAUCAGGAGGAACACCGACAGCGAAGGCAGCACUCUGGGCCGGUACUGACACUGAGGAGCGAAAGCAUGGGUAGCAAACAGGAUUAGAUACCCUGGUAGUCCAUGCCGUAAACGUUGGGCACUAGGUGUGGGGAGAACUCAACUCUCUCCGCGCCGUAGCUAACGCAUUAAGUGCCCCGCCUGGGGAGUACGGCCGCAAGGCUAAAACUCAAAGGAAUUGACGGGGGCCCGCACAAGCGGCGGAGCAUGUUGCUUAAUUCGAGGCAACGCGAAGAACCUUACCUGGGUUGAACUACGUGGGAAAAGCCGCAGAGAUGCGGUGUCCUUCGGGGUCCACGAUAGGUGGUGCAUGGCUGUCGUCAGCUCGUGUCGUGAGAUGUUGGGUUAAGUCCCGCAACGAGCGCAACCCUUGUCCUAUGUUGCCAGCGGGUAAAGCCGGGGACUCGUAGGAGACUGCCGGGGUCAACUCGGAGGAAGGUGGGGACGACGUCAAGUCAUCAUGCCCCUUAUGUCCAGGGCUGCAAACAUGCUACAAUGGCCGGUACAACGGGCAGCUAAACCGCGAGGUCAAGCGAAUCCCACAAAGCCGGUCUCAGUUCGGAUUGAAGUCUGCAACUCGACUUCAUGAAGCUGGAGUCGCUAGUAAUCCCGGAUCAGCAACGCCGGGGUGAAUACGUUCCCGGGCCU
rnacentral:rRNA from 1 species